rnacentral:rRNA from 1 species
AACUUUCAACAACGGAUCUCUUGGUUCCCACAUCGAUGAAGAACGCAGCGAAACGCGAUAGUUAAUGUGAAUUGCAGAAUUCAGUGAAUCAUCGAGUCUUUGAACGCACAUUGCGCUCACCGGUAUUCCGGUGAGCAUGUCUGUCUGAGCGUCAUU